GGCCCCAUCUAGCUACCAGGAGAGCUGUUUACAUGGAAUCCAAGUUGCCUGCCAGGGGCAGAGCACGUUUUUCCACAGCUGCUGAGAAAGACGAGUGAGUCAAGACAGAAUAACAAAAAGCCACUUCAAAAACACACCAGAAGAAGUACGAAGCUGAGACAAUCACAGGUUUGAAACAUCCCCUCCUCCCAAAGCCCUGACUAGAGAGUGUAAAAACAAGUCUCAAGGGAGCCUCUGGGCCCUGCAGGUUUCGAGCCUCCUCGUGGUUGCUGACUUGAGAACUGGGCCUGUCCCUGUACUUCUGAGAGGAGCCAGGAGUUGAUGUUGUGGGGGCUCAGAAACCUGAGUUCUGAGAACUGUGGGACUGAGAGGGGGACAGCCCCUAGGUUCUCAGUGUCUCUGGGAAGCUGAGUGGUGGUGGUGGUGGUGGGGCUGUGGGAAAAGGCAGGGCCAGGCUGGAUGGGCAAAGGUGUAGAGACUCCUCCUGUCUGGAAAACAGCUAUGGUAAAGAAGUGGAGUCCUGUCUUAUCUCCAGCCUCUGAGGAACGACAAUAGAGCCCAUUGAAGAGGAGCCUGGAGUUGGAGGUAUUGGCUCAAGUCCCUCCGACUGUCAUUCAGUUGCCAUGAGACUUUAGGUAAGUUACUAUCAAAUGAACCACAUCCCUUGCCAAAGUAGGGGCUAAGAUUUUUUUUGUUUUGGUUUGGUUUUUCGAGACAAGAGUAUCUCUGUGUAGCCUUAGCUGUGUUGGAACUCACUCUGUAAACCAGGCUGGCCUUGAACUUAGAACCCAGAGAUCUGCCUGCCCCUGCUUCCCAAGUGCUGGGAUUAAAGGCGUGUGUGAGACAGGGUCUUACAUGGCUCAGGCUGACCGAUAGCUGCCUGUAUAUUUGAGGAUGGCCUGGAGUUCCUGCCUUCACCUCCCAGAUGUUGGGGUCACAGGCAUGCUCAGUUACUUUGGGUUUCGAUUUUCAGUUUUCUUUUUUCCUCUUUUGGAAAGAGGAUCUCAAAGAUGUAGCCCAGACUACAGGUACCCAUGGUGCUGCAUUAGUUUAAAAGGUGAGAUCUCAACCCUUGGGAGGUACAACAGUCAAUCAGUCAAUCAAUUAUCAAUAAAUCAGUGUGAUCCUCAGUGUACCCCGGACAUUUUA
rnacentral:lncRNA from 1 species